ACUAAAUCUGUCUGUAGUCCCUUCUACGUGUGAGUACAUCAAGGACUCGGUUGUCACUCAGUCUCAGAUGGAUCUUUGCUGCCUCCUUGUCCUAAUUUAUUGCCUCAAAGUGCUAGUUUGGUUGGUGCUGGCUGGAGCUGUCGGUGCACAUGGAGAUGGUGCUUCUUCCCAGGUGCUCCUUACAAACAUGGAAAGUUGCAGGAGCAGCUCGGUUCUUCUAUCCUUACAGUGACCCUCAGUGCCUGUGGUGUGACAUCAGCCUGUCAGAAAGCAAAGGAGACUCCUGGUCAUGCUGAGUGAGCUCAGAGCAUGGUCACCAGUCUGGUUUCAUGGGCCAUCUGCAGGAGUUAGGUCUGAGGGCCUAAAGAGAGGCAAACUGAAGCAGUUUGGUGGACACGGAUGGGAGAGGGAUCAAGCAGUGCUCAGUCUCCUCUUCCAGUGCCUGUUCCUGUCCUGUCCAGCCUGCAAGAGCAGACAGAAGAGAUGGAAUGUGUGGGGAGCUCAAAUCCUCAGUGAUAAGCCUGGAAAUGCCAUCUAGGACAAAUAAGACUUGCAGCUGUGUUGUGCCUGACAUCUCCAGGCUGAAGGAAUUUUGGUGUAGGUUCUGGAAAGAAGCAUUAGGAAAGAGAGUCAAUCCCUUGAUGUAGGUGAUAAUUGUGCAUCCUUUCCUAUGUGCCACCAUGACUUCCACCUGCCUUGCUUCCACAUUGUUGCUGCCUCCUCCUCCAAGCUGUAGAUUCCACCAGUAGAAAAGCACUGAAAAACCAGUAUUUAGGACAUGAUUCCUCCAUGCUACUCAGGUCCUUAUCUCAUUUGAGUGGAUACAGGAGUCUUCUAACAGCUACAUUUCUGCCAGCAGAGCUCUGUAAGAGCUUGCCUGUCUGCUGCUUUGGUUUGAACUCUGAAGGGCUGAGUUCCUUGUUGCUCAUCCCACACCUACAUCAGGCCAGAUUUCCCAACCAGGAAUUUUCUUUUUCAGAUCUUACUGGCCCCAAACAGGUGCAUGUUUCCAGGUCUCACACCUUUGCAAGGACAGCAACCCCUCUGGUUGCUGAGGUAUAGAACAAGGCUAAAAGUCUCCACUUCCCUGUGUUAUAUCUACUGCUUGGUUUUCCAAAGAAUGCAACUGAGAUCAAUUAUAAAGCACUACAUUAAAACCAUUUUUCAGUACAAAAAAAAAAGUUUGUAUUUUUGUUGCUGUUUUGUAAAGACAAAAAGCUUCAGUGCACAAAGGGCAACACAGCAUUCAGAAGACAGAAGUGACUUGUCAUAACCUCCACAUAAUCUAACUGGGAAUUGCAUUUGCCCAGAAAUCAAUAAGUUUCUAUCUUUUGAGAAAAAUUAACCUGCCAGUGCCAUCCUGGAUAAGGGCACUAACCAAAAGGUGGUUCCUCCACAGACAAGAGCUGUCUCCUCACCUGAAUUCCCUGGGAAUGAAAGGACAGACUUCUCAUGUUUUUUUCUUUAAAAUGCUCCUUCAGCACCAAAGUUCUGUGCCUGAGGCUGUUUGCUGUUUAUGAGCCACUGAUUCAGGUAGAGGAUUCCUGCUGCUUCUAUUUCUCUUAAAAGCAACUUUUAAUUUUCUGUGUGCCUAUACAGAGUCAUAACAGCUCCCAAAUAGCUAAACUGCUUUAUAUCAAAGUAAUUUUGCAGAAGACAAUACAAGUCAUCAAUUCAUUUUGAUAUGAGGCCACCAAGAUGUCAAGAUGUGAAUUCAUAGAGGAACAAGGAUGAGAUGUGAGCAGGUCCUCCACAUCUCUGAGGAACAGGAUAAUAUUGCUGGAGCUGUCAGAGGCAAGUUUAGACCCCAGGUCACAGAAUCCCAGCUCCAUGUGGUUACACCAGGACCAACAAAGAGGAGGUGGCACUAUGUGUGCUCAUGGUGGCCCAUGAACACCCCUGGUUAUUUCCAGACACCUUGUGCUGACUCUGGGAAACAAACCCCUGCUGAAUUUUAUACUCUUUCUGCACCUCUGUCAGACAUAACAAGAGGAGAAAUCUGUCACCUCUAAUUCAUCUCUUCCACAUUUCUCACCUUCUCAUGUGACAAUUUGCCAUCAGCAGCCCCCAUGAGGGCAAAAACUCCAACUCUUUCCUUGCUUGGCUUAAACAAAGAUAAUGUAUAAAUGUUACUGCAUGUGUGUUGGGGAUGGUUAUAUUUCAGGAUCAGGCUCUCCAUUCAAUUCUCCUAUUUGCACACUGCCAGCUCACUCUUCCUAAGGCUGGUAACUAGAGCUAGACCUCGCUGUGCAGCCCUGCAGGGAACAGCCAUGGUUGUUCUCAGCUGUGCAUGCUCUGUUGUUUCUGAAUACUAACUCCGGGGGGAAAUAACGUAAUUACCUACCACUCACACUCCCUCCAGUUGAAAACAGGUUUGGAUGGACAAUCACACAAUUGUCUAUAUUCAUGUAAACAAAGGGGAAGCCAGGGGGUGAGUUAUCUUUCUCCUCCUCAGGCCUGAAAUCUGUGGCUGAAGGAUACACACAGUCAUGGGAAAAGAGCCAGUAGAUUAAAAGGAAGAAUGCACACUGCAGGCAGCAGCUUUCUGACUGUCUCAACAGGGAGGGACCACCCUAGUGCUGCUGAGAUGGAGGAAUUCCCCUGGUGAUUCUAGCAAGGGCUCAGGAAAAUGAUGGUAGAUUGAAAACAGUUCAUGUUGCUUCAGGGAGAGAUGAUUUUUUUUUACUUUUAAAGCUCUCCUCUGAAAUGCAGGGUAGCAGCAAGAGCAGGGUUGGAUACCAGGGAAGAGGUGGAAUGGCUCUGAUGUUGACCUACCUAGAUCAGGUUGAACCUGGAUCAUCAUGUACACACUGACACUGAGAUCAUGCCCCAUGGUUCCUGCAUCCUCCCUCACCAAAUGAGGUGUGAAUAUGUGCUUGGUAUCUGCAGCAGUUACUGAUGGCCUUCAAACUGCAAGUUUGGCACCAGUUGGGCACCAUUUCUGCUGGCAAGGAUGUGCAGGCAUCUCCAGCGUUCUCCAGAGACCAGGCAAUGGCUCCUGUCCUAGCAGAUGUCUGUGCAUCAGCAGUAUGGACCUGGUCUACCCUGACAAUGGGGCAUCCUUCCGAAGAGAAGCUGCUCUGCAUUUUCCCCCUAAUCCUCUGAUUUAUGGUGCUGGGCUUACCUCAUUCCCAUAGGAACUACUGCACUGAAGGAACUCAGAAGAUUUCCUACCAACCACUGCCAACAGUUUCUGGCAGCAAAUGUCUCUUCGUAGUGAGCAAAAAGGGCAAGGUGAAGGACCCCUGAAAAAAACACUGGUGCUACAGACCAAGAACCAAGUACCUUAGUGAAGGAUGAAUUCACAUGAAGUCAGGAACCUUCAUCUGAGCAUCAGCUGGAGCAAAUGUAUAGUUUGCAUGAAAUGUGUAUUGUGUGGCUGGCAUAAAAUAAAGCUGAUUAUGAGAGCUGAA